CUCACACAGAGACAGCCCUGACGGGAGAGGAGUGAUCUAAUGUGUAUGUGUUUAAAUAUUUGUGUUUUAAUAUGUGUGUGUGUGUGUGUGUGUGUGUGUGUGUGUGUGUGUGUGUGUGUGUAUAUAUAAUGUUUUACAGGUCUAAUGCACUUGCUAGCCUAGCAGGUUUUAUGUGUCCAU